rnacentral:rRNA from 1 species
AUUGAACGCUGGCGGCAUGCCUUACACAUGCAAGUCGAACGGCAGCACGGGGCAACCUGGUGGCGAGUGGCGAACGGGUGAGUAAUGCAUCGGAACGUACCUUUCAGUGGGGGAUAACGUAGCGAAAGUUACGCUAAUACCGCAUAUUCUGUGAGCAGGAAAGCAGGGGAUCGCAAGACCUUGCGCUGAUUGAGCGGCCGAUGUCAGAUUAGCUAGUUGGUGAGGUAAAGGCUCACCAAGGCGACGAUCUGUAGCGGGUUUGAGAGGAUGAUCCGCCACACUGGAACUGGGACACGGUCCAGACGCCUACGGGAGGCAGCAGUGGGGAAUUUUGGACAAUGGGGGCAACCCUGAUCCAGCCAUGCCGCGUGAGUGAAGAAGGCCUUCGGGUUGUAAAGCUCUUUCGGCCGGGAAGAAAUCGCACGGGCUAAUACCCUGUGUGGAUGACGGUACCGGAAUAAGAAGCACCGGCUAACUACGUGCCAGCCGCCGCCGUAAGAC